rnacentral:rRNA from 1 species
UACGUAGGCAGCGAGCGUUGUUCGGAAUUACUGGGCGUAAAGAGUGUGUAGGCGGUGCUCUAAGUUCGGUGUGAAAUCUCCUGGCUCAACUGGGAGGGUGCGCCGGAAACUGGAGUGCUUGAGCGUGGGAGAGGAAAGCGGAAUUCCUGGUGUAGCGGUGAAAUGCGCAGAUAUCAGGAGGAACACCGGUGGCGAAGGCGGUGGUCUGGGCCGGCACUGACGCUGAGGAGCGAAAGCGUGGGGAGCGAACAGG